GCACCAUUGGGUUAGUGGUAAACUACGGCCUUGCCAUCUUUCGCAUCACGCAAGCUGGCCGUGCCCCGUGUUCGAUUCACGGAUGGUGCA